AUACGGAAGGUGCGAGCGUUAAUCGGAAUUACUGGGCGUAAAGGGCUCGUAGGCGGCCAAGUCAGUCGGAUGUGAAAGCCCCGGGCUUAACCUGGGAAUGCCAUUCGAUACUGCUUGGCUAGAGUAUGGUAGAGGAAAGUGGAAUUCCGCAUGUAGCGGUGAAUUGCGUAGAUAUGCGGAAGAACACCAACGGCGAAGGCAACUUUCUGGAUCAAUACUGACGCUGAGGAGCGAAAGCGUGGGGAGCAAACAGGAUUAGAUACCCUAGUAGUCC
rnacentral:rRNA from 1 species